rnacentral:rRNA from 1 species
CGCGUAGGCGGUUUGUUAAGUCAGCUGUGAAAGCCCCGGGCUCAACCUGGGAACUGCAGUUGAUACUGGCCGACUAGAGUACGAGAGAGGGAGGUAGAAUUCCAUGUGUAGCGGUGAAAUGCGUAGAUAUAUGGAGGAAUACCGGUGGCGAAGGCGGCCUCCUGGCUCGAUACUGACGCUGAGGUGCGAAAGCGUGGGGAUCAAACAGGAUUAGAUACCCUGGUAGUCCACGCCGUAAACGAUGUCUACUAGCCGUUGGGAGACUUGAUUUCUUAGUGGCGCAGCUAACGCAAUAAGUAGACCGCCUGGGGAGUACGGCCGCAAGGUUAAA